CUUUUUAGGGCCAUACUCUUGCCAUAUGGAGGUUCCCAGGCUAGGGGUCGAAUCAGAGCUACAACCAAAAAAAAAAAAGUACCCUCUUGUAACUAUACAAUCUUUAGACAAUGAAAUUGCUAGAUCAGAUAUUAACAGAAAGAAGAGAUAUAUGUGUAAUGGCCAGUAGCUCCUGUUAUGUAUAUGUUCAUGUGGCAUCAGAAGUUAAAACCUACUUAGUAGAAUUAGACAACUGGCUAUAGCAGGUCUCCCAUAAUGCCAGCGCCAGACUGGGCUUUGGUCUUAUUUUUCUGAAUUCCUCAGGGAAUGAGAUCUAUUUUGUCUGUUAAAGUCCCAGUUGUCACUCUUCCUACUUCUAAUUAGGUCUGUUGCACCAAGCUGGCAGACCAAGGGAUUGAGAUCUUAAUCAUACAGGACUCGGAUCCAGGACUUGGGACUCAGGAAUAUUUCUUAUUCGGUGUCCAUUCCCCAAAUUGAGGCAAGACUACACCCCAUUUCAGCAGGAAGUAGCCAGAGUGGUCACUGCCUUGUUCCCUAAAAGACUUGGGGAAAGAUAAAAGAGAAAUGGGGAUUUAAAACCAAAUUGCCUUAAAAUAAAUUCCUCUGCCAAGUUUAUGAUUCACAUCUCUAUCCAAAAUGAGUGUUCCCUUUCUUGUCCAACAUCUAUUCUCCUCAAGAUUGGGGAGUAUCAAAGAAAAGGGGGGAAUGAAACCGAGCAGAACCCUAUGGGGCUCCUGGGUACAAAAGCCUUUGUGUCCCCCAUUUCUUAUUUUUAGGAAAUAGGCCUCCUUUAGCCUCUCUGACCUUCCCUGAGUUCCAAAGGGUAGGUUCAAACUGUUGCUAAUCAGGGAAGGGAGGCAACGAGGAGACCAGGGAGGAACAUUCAAGAAACAGUGAAGAAGAAUGCAAGCUUGCAUCCACCCUGAUCCUUAUCUGUGGCCCUAUUUUCUACUCCGAAGUUAUAAAACCACUUCCUGUUCUCUCCCUCCUUUGGGAGAACAGUCUUUAGGACAUGUGCCUGCUGUGGCCUCCUUUGCCUGGCAAAGCAACCAAGCUAUUUUUCCUCCUUCCCCCAAAACUCUGUCUCCAGGUUUCUAUUCAGCACCGGCGGACAGAGGCCAUUUUAGCAACAUUAUAAUGAGUCAUUUGAAGAAAGGUGAAGGCAAAUGGCUUUUUU
rnacentral:lncRNA from 1 species